UGACCUCAAAUCGGGUAAAAAUACCCGCUG
rnacentral:rRNA from 1 species